rnacentral:sRNA from 2 species
AAAAAUAGUUAGCCGAAUCUCUCAUUCAGGGGAGAGCGGGGGAACCACAUAUAUGGGUGAAUCCCCAGCCUGUAAAGGCGGGGAGGGGCAUGCUUUAGCUCUAACCUAUAAGCUAACCACGUAGGCAUUAAAGCAAGCUAUU